rnacentral:lncRNA from 1 species
AAUCAAAAAUCUGUAAGCUAUUAAUACAACAACAAUAUAUAAAGAUAGUAUUACAGGAAGAACAAAUUAUCUCCACAAUUCUAAAAAAAGUUAAAUCAGAGACUCUCACAUAGGAGUGGCAAUCCAGCUAGCUGUUCGCGAGCCAGCUCGUAUUUGGCUCGAAAUGAUAUAAAAAACUUCAGAUAUUCCACCUAACUUUAUCGAACACGAGUUGAAUUUUUCAGCUCGUUUAAUAAACGAGUUGAACACGAGCUGGGGUCGGCUCGCUCGUGUUCGGCUCGAAAUGAGCUCGAGAUCGAAUCGUUCAUUUAGUAAACCAGCCAAACACGAGUUGAAUUUUUCAGCUCGUUUAAUAAACGAGUUGAACACGAGCUGAGGUCAGCUCAUUCGUGUUCGGCUCGAUAACAGCUCGAAUACAUAUAUUUUAUAUUUAUAUAUAUAAAUAAAUAAUUAUAUAUAAAAUAUAUAUUUUUAUUAUUUUAUUUUUAGUAAAAUUAAAAUAUAAAGCCGAGUUUAAUUAUAAAAAGACUCAUUUAUUUAUAAAGUUUCAACAAUUUGAUCAAAGUCUAAUGGGUAACACUUUAUAAAUUUAAUUUUUAUAUAUAUCAAAUAUAUUUUUUUAACUUAUUAUUCGUUGGUCAGCUCGUGAGUCGGCUCAUAUUCGGCGAAGACAAACUGAAUUUUUCGGUUCGAUACUUUAACAGGCCAGCUCUUGUUCAGCCAGCACAAGCC